GUGAGGAAUAUUGGUCAAUGGGCGCGAGCCUGAACCAGCCAAGUAGCGUGAGGGAUGACUGCCCUAUGGGUUGUAAACCUCUUUUGCAGGGGGGUAAAGUGGUUCACGUGUGGACCAUUGCAAGUACCCUGCGAAUAAGGAUCGGCUAACUCCGUGCCAGCAGCCGCGGUAAUACGGAGGAUCCGAGCGUUAUCCGGAUUUAUUGGGUUUAAAGGGAGCGUAGGCGGGGGUUUAAGUCAGCUGUGAAAUGCCGUGGCCCAACCAUGGAACUGCAGUUGAAACUGGACCUCUUGAGAGUACAUAAGGAAGGCGGAAUUCGUGGUGUAGCGGUGAAAUGCAUAGAUAUCACGAAGAACUCCGAUUGCGAAGGCAGCUUUCCGGGGUACAUCUGACGCUGAAGCUCGAAAGUGCGGGAAUCAAACAGGAUUAGAUACCCGGGUAGUCC
rnacentral:rRNA from 1 species